rnacentral:rRNA from 1 species
UGGGGAAUAUUGCACAAUGGAGGGAACUCUGAUGCAGCGACGCCGCGUGAACGAAGAAGGCUUUCGAGUCGUAAAGUUCUUUUAUAUGGGAAGAUAAUGACGGUACCAUAAGAAAAAGCCCCGGCUAACUACGUGCCAGCAGCCGCGGUAAUACGUAGGGGGCUAGCGUUGUCCGGAAUCACUGGGCGUAAAGGGUUCGCAGGCGGAAAUGCAAGUCAGGUGUAAAAGGCAGUAGCUUAACUACUGUAAGCAUUUGAAACUGCAUAUCUUGAGAAGAGUAGAGGUAAGUGGAAUUUUUAGUGUAGCGGUGAAAUGCGUAGAUAUUAAAAAGAAUACCGGUGGCGAAGGCGGCUUACUGGGCUCAUUCUGACGCUAAGGAACGAAAGCGUGGGUAGCAAACAGG